GAGGAAGACCAGGAGACUAGACGCACCUCGAAGUUAGGCAAAAUAUGGAAAGGAUCAUUACAUUUAUUUUUGAUCACCCUUUCAUUGUCGCGGGGGCUGCCAGUGCUGUACUUGGCCUAUUCUAUUUCGUCUGGGGGAGACGCCCCCCUCCCCCACCAGUCCAGCCAACUGUUGAACCCCAAGAAUCAAAUGCGAGUGAACUGGACAACGUACCUCGACUCCAGCGUAUUGGGGUUUUCUAGUGAUUGGAAUCUGGCCUACUACUGGACUACAAAAUUUCAUCGUAUUUGUGUUUGUGUUAUUUCUUGUGAUUGGAAUCUGGCCUACUACUGGACUACAAAAUUUCAUCGUAUUUGUGUUUGUGUUAUUUCUUGUGAUUGGAACCUGGACUACAAAAUUUCAUCGUAUUUGUG